rfam:Actinoalloteichus hoggarensis strain DSM 45943 chromosome, complete genome.
CAAGUGACCCUGCGGUGCUGGCGGACCCCCGACCUGGCAGCACUGCGGGGUUUUCCA